AUGGGACUUGGACCCAUGUCCUCCAGGGCCAGAGCUCUACAUUCUAUACUGCAUGGCUGCCCUGUACCACAGUAUAUGGGGAGAGAGUUCUGGACCUGGAGUAGAAGAUCUGAGUUUAAAAAGUCUGUCUCAGACACUUACUAUGUGACCUUGGACAAGUCACAUUCUAUUUGCCCCAGUUUCUUCAUUUGUUAAAUGAUAAUAAUAACAUCUACAAUCCAGUGGUACCUCCCUACCAGUGGUGGUUGUGAGGAUAAAAUUGAUAAUAUUUUUUAAAUGCUUUGUAAAUUUUCCAAUGCUACAUAAAUGCUAUU
rnacentral:lncRNA from 1 species